rnacentral:rRNA from 1 species
AUUGAACGCUGGCGGCAGGCCUAACACAUGCAAGUCGAGCGAGCGGCGGACGGGUGAGUAAUGUAUGGGGACUGCCCGAUAGAGGGGGAUAACUACUGGAAACGGUAGCUAAUACCGCAUACUAUCGGAUAACCCAUAUGGGAUUAGCUAGUAGGUGAGGUAAUGGCUCACCUAGGCGACGAUCCCUAGCUGGUCUGAGAGGAUGAUCAGCCAUACUGAGACUGAGACACGGCCCAGACUCCGACGGAGGCAGCAGUGGGUAAUAUGUCACAAUGGGCGCAAGCCUGACGCAGCCAUGCAGCGUGUAUGAAGAAGGCCCUAGGGUUGUAAAGUACUUUAAGUCGGGAGGCGUUACCGACAGAAGAAGCACCGGCUAACUACGUGUCAGCAGCCGCGGUAAUUC